CAUUACUGAGAAAGCAACCUUGGAUGCUUGCUGGCCUUUUCAAAUGGGCAUGUGCACUCCUUGGUGAAUUUCUUCUUCUUUCACCCCCCCCCCUUUGUGCACUCUUUGUAGGCUCGAGGAAUUGAGCCUAUGUUUAUUCCACACACACUUGAUUGAAUGUAUGAUGGUUUUGGGCAAUAAAUUUUGAUACAACUUUCAACAAUGGAUCUCUUGGCUCUCGCACCGAUGAAGAACGCAGCGAAAUGCGAUACGUAAUGUGAAUUGCAGAAUUCCGUGAAUCAUCGAAUCUUUGAACGCACCUUGCGCCUCUUGGUAUUCCGAGAGGCAUGCCUGUUUGAGUGUCAUUUAAUUCUCAAACCUGAAUUUUCUUUUGUAGUUCAGGCUUGGAUUUGGAGUGUGCCGGCCUUGACAAGGUCGGCUCCUCUGAAAUUUAUUAGUGAAGAGGCUCUCUUAUCCCCCCGAAAGCUAUUUUUGGCAUUGAUAACUUGUCUGUGCCUUUCCUGCUUGGUGGGAUUUUUUUGUAGCAGCUCGCUCACAAAUACACAAUAGAAGCUCUAUUCUUUUUGACCAAAUUGACCUCAAAUCAGGUAGGACUACCC
rnacentral:rRNA from 1 species